GCUGCCAUCUCCAUCAGAGGAGCUGUGAGAACUGGCCUGAGAACUCUGAGAGAGCAUUGGCUGAUGUGGAGAGCCGAGCCCCGCCGAGAAUUUCCACUCAGAAAAAUAAAGUCCUCCCUGGAAGCCGUGUCUUCAGACUGUCUAUCAAUCCGUUCUGCCUUUAGGGGAGCUGGCCUUUCUCAUUUAACUCGGUUUCGGAGACCAGAAUCAAGAUUCUGAAGAGAAGGGAGACUCCAAACGGUGGUAAAAGAUAUCUUAUUCAUCAUGCAAAUUUAUAAUCUGCUUAAAUUCAUUUCAAAUGAGCUUACAAGCAGUGGUUCACAUAAAACACACAUGGUUCCCUAACCAGCUGCCAAGGCCUGAAGCAUCCCUACCCAGUGCUCCUAUCUGGAAUGUUGAAGUCACCUGGCUGGAAGAGUUGUGACAGGAAGCACAGAUCAAAAGGAAAUUUCCUUGAACUGGAGUCCCGGACCACGGAGAACUGCUACCAGGGUUCUGGGAAUCCAACCCAGGUCCUCAGCAAGACCAACACGUGUUCUUAACUACCAAUCCAUCUCUCCAGCUCCAUCAUCCAAAUGUUUUCAAGAAUUACAAACGUUGAACACUGAAAGAAAAAUCUGUCAAUUCGGGAGGAGUUCAUCGACUAAAAAGAAAUGUAUGCAGGCCUCCGUAACAGGAACAGCAUACAGUCCAGUAACCAAGCGUGUAUGCACACACAUGCAUUAGCAUCAUGGGAACCUGCUGUGCCCAUUUCACUUUCAUCUUUGGAUGCUCAUUUUGAACAGACACAGCAAGACCUUCCUGAGCCCUGUGUAGCCUUCCUGCCUAAACAACUGCUCUAAAACGAAGAGACAAAACUUCAAGAACCGAGGCUAAGGAUUUCCUUUGGUUGUAGAUGUACGAAAUUAUGAGACUGACAGAAAAGAGGACACAAUCGAAGCUUGGCCAAGAUCGUAUCCAUUGGAAUGCUGUGGUCACUUUCUAACAAUUUGACAGUCAUUGGUCUCUUGGCUCACUCACUGGUCAACAGAAGUGUUUUUCUGCACAAGCAAGCUUUCUAAAUCUUCAUCCCGAGUAGCAGCUGAUAGUCGCCGAUUGAUUGACAUACAGGGAGAUUCAACUUCUGUUUUUAGGUUUUAGUUCAAAAUUCUCUUUCAUCUUGUUGACUUUCCUCCAGUAUCCACGGGCUAGAGAGAUGGACACACUGGACCGUUGUUUGCUAACCAAAAGCUGUGAGCUGCGGGAGCUCAGCGGAGGAUGGAAAACCAGGAGAGUGCGCACUGCAAAGCACCAUUGUUCUCUGCAGCGGUAUUUUUAUGGUUUCUCCAGGCUGUUGAUUUUACUCCGUGGGUGAUGAUGUCAAUGAACUGACUGAGUGCUUUUUGUGGGUUCGGUGUGUGAGGUGUAUAAGUUUAAUUCUGCUCAGUUCUAUGUGGCUGUAGAAUGAAUUAAAAUAAUUAUAUUCAGAAAC